UAUNGGGCAAUGGAGGAAACUCUGACCCAGCNACGCCGCGUGAAUGAUGAAGGUCUUCGGAUUGUAAAGUUCUUUUCUAAGGGAAGAAGAAAGUGACGGUACCUUAGGAAUAAGCCUCGGCUAACUACGUGCCAGCAGCCGCGGUAAUACGUAGGAGGCAAGCGUUAUCCGGAAUGACUGGGCGUAAAGGGUGCGUAGGUGGUUUGACAAGUUGGUAGCGUACCUCCGGGGCUCAACCUCGGCACUACUACCAAAACUGUUGGACUUGAGUGCAGGAGGGGCAAAUGGAAUUCCUAGUGUAGCGGUGGAAUGCGUAGAUAUUAGGAGGAACACCAGUGGCGAAGGCGGCCUGCUGGACGAUGACUGACGUUGAGGCUCGAAAGCGUGGGGAGCAAAC
rnacentral:rRNA from 1 species